rnacentral:rRNA from 1 species
GACGAACGCUGGCGGCGUGCUUAACACAUGCAAGUCGAACGAAGUGGCGAACGGGUGAGUAACGCGUAAUCAACCUGCCCUUCAGAGGGGGACAACAGUUGGAAACGACUGCUAAUACCGCAUACUGAAGGAGGGGAUUGCGUCUGAUUAGCUAGUUGGAGGGGUAACGGCCCACCAAGGCGAUGAUCAGUAGGCGGUUUGAGGGGAUGAACGGCCACAUCGGGACCGGGACACGGCCCAGACUCCUACGGGAAGCAGCAGUGGGGAAUCUUCCGCAAUGGGGGAAAGUCUGACGGAGCAACGCCGCGUGAGUGAUGACGGCCUUCGGGUUGUAAAGGUCUGUUAAUCGGAGCGCGGUACCGGAAUAGAAAGCCACGGCUAACUACGUGCCAGCCGCCGCGGUAAUUC